AAUAAUACCUGUUGAAGUCUGCAAAGAAAUCACACCAAUCCCUUCCACUUUGACAUACUCACCAUUUCCCAUCUUCACUUUUGAUUUGUAAUUGCUGUCAAGUUCAACAAAGAUGAUGGAAUUUGAAGCCAUAUGAUGUGUGCAACUACUACUCAAUAGCCAUGUUCCAACAUCACUACACAUCUUGUGAUUUGUAACUGUGAAUAAGUGUUCUUGCUGAUCUUGUUGCUGAUUUUAAGCAACCUAUGCCUGCUGCUUGGAUUGCUGUUCCUUGAGAUUUUUGCACAUCUUUUGAACAUGUCCAAAUUGU
rnacentral:lncRNA from 1 species